rnacentral:rRNA from 1 species
AUGGAUGAACUUGUCAACCUUACGUUCUUGGUCCUCACGUCAAAACAAAAGAAUUUACUAAAAAGUGGGUUUUGUGGUUGGUCUUCCAUGGCAUUCCUAUAUCUGAGCGGCUGCACUGAGUUAAUAUCACUCACAGAAGGAUUUGGUAGCCUCACUGCUCUCCGAGAGUUGCUCAUCUUCAACUGCCCAAAGCUCGCUUCUCUCCCCUCUUCCAUGAAGCAGCUCUGUGUGCUUGAGAAGUUGGUGAUUAGUAACUGCCAAGAGCUUGAUCUGAUGGAACCAGUAGAAGCCUUGAGUGGGCUGGGAAGCCUACAUGUGCUCGUGGGCUUUCCAGAGAGCUUCAAAUCUUGUGUGUCAUCUCUUCAGCAUGUCCUGAUUCGCGAUUGCAAAGGGGUUGAGAAGCUGCCGAGCUUCAUUCGAGAUUUCACUUGUCUUAAGAAAAUUGUAAUUCAGGACUGCCCUAAGUUGAGCAGGAGAUGCACGGCUGAAUCCGGGGAGGAUUAUCAUCUCAUCCGCGAUAUCCCUGUCAUACACAUCGAUGGAGACACUUGCGAAGGGAGACACGAGGCUCUAACAAGCACAUAUAUCAUAAAUCCUGAUGGAAGAAACGUGUGA